AAUACAAAUAAAUUCAGAGUAUUAACCCUAUAUCUUUCUUACGUUUUUGGGCUUCUUUUUCUAGAGGAGGUUCACAUUGCUUCUGGGGGCCUGGAUUUUCUACUUCGGGCCCACUUCCAGCUGCAACUCUUGUGGAACCUAACUUAUUUAGAGUCCUGAGCAAGGAUUUGCCAACAUCACUCCUUUAGUCAAACAGGAGACAUUUGAUAUGAUAUUGGUUCAUAUAUGAUAACUUGAAUUGGCAAAUACAUGCAAUAUUGGAUUUAUGUAAACUUUAUGAAGAAAAGAGCCAAGAAGUACAAAAAUGCAGUUUGAAAUUAGGUGUUCAAAACACAAAAUUAAAAAAAAUAAACCUGAAGGCUACAAGAUACGUCUUCUACUAUGUGUGAUUUUGUGAAAAAUUCACUUAUCCUCAUAGUUGUAAAUAUAGAGAAUAAAAAAGAAAAUUACCAUCAGUGUUUUCUGCAGCAGAAGAGGUUCACAUUGCUUCUGGGGGCCUGGAUUUUCUACUUCAGGCCCACUUCCAGCUGCAGCUCUUGUGGAACCUAACUUAUUUAGAGUCCUGAGCAAGGAUUUGCCAACAUCACUCCUUUAGUCAAACAGGAGACACUUGAUAUGAUAUUCGUUCAUGUAUGAUAACGAAUUGGGGAACACAUGCAAUAUUGGAUUCAUGUUACUUCAUGAAGCAAAGAGCCAAGAAAUACAAAAAUGCAGUUUGAAAUUGGGUGUUCAAAACACAAAAUUAAAAAAAUAAACCUGAAGACUACAAGAUAUAUCUUCUAUUAUGUGUGAUUUUGUGAAAAAUUCACUUAUCCUCAUAGUUGUACAUAUAGAGAAUAAAAAAGAAAAUUACCAUCAGUGUUUUCUGCAGCACUUAAAUCAACUUUUCCCAUAACUUCUGUAAGGGAAAUGGGGAGAAAGUGGGAAAAGUUAAUAUGAAUACCGAAAACUCCCUAAGUAUAUAUUUUUUUCCUUCCUAAAUUGUGGAAUUAUCAACUUUACCUAAUUUUUGUUUUGACUUGACUACUUUCUCUGAUUCUUGGCUUGUGGAAGGAUCUUUCAUGGGAAGACCACAUUGACUAGGCUAUGAAACAAGAUAAUUUAAUAAAAAAAAGUUGCAUAGAGAGUUUUCAGUACAUAUCAGAAAAUAAAUGAAAAGUUACCUUCACAUUACGAUUUUUCCCUGGAUGAUCUAAGAAAAGGACAAAAGUUUUAUCAUCAAUGAUAAUUAAACAACAAAAUUCAAUUACAAUAUCAUGCAAAAUAAAUAGGUUUAUUAGUUGCCAAUAUAGGACUUGUAGAAUCCUAUUCAAUAUUAUAUGUCUUAGAUGGCAUUUUUCCUGACUGACUAAUUAAAAUUAACUGUUAACACUGGACUUAAAAGAAGAAAAUAAUAUUGGCCCAACAUGGAAUUCAUAUUGGAUUCAUGUGACUUCAUGAAGAAAAGAAAGGAGCCAAGGAGUACAAAAAUGCAGUUUGAAAUUUGGUGUUCAAAACACAAAAUUAAAAAAUAAACCUGAAGACUAAAAGAUACGUCUUCUAUUAUGUGUGAUUUUGUGAAAAAUUCACUUAUCCUCAUAGUUGUAAAUAUAGAGAAUAAAAAAGAAAAUUACCAUCAGUGUCUUCUGUAGCACUUAAAUCAACUUUUUCCAUAAAAGCUUUAAUGGAAAUUGGCAGAAAGUGAGAAAAGGAAAUAUGAAUACUGAAAAGUCCCUAAGUAUAUUUCUUUUCCUUCUAAAUUAUGGAAUUAUCAACUUUACCUAAUUUUAGUUUUGGCUUGACUACUUUUUCUGAUUCUUGGCUUGUGGAAGGAUCUUUCAUUGGAAGACCGCAUUGACUAGGCUAUGAAAAAAGAUAAUUCAAUAACAAAAAGUUGCAUAGAAAGUUUUCAGUACAUAGCAGAAAAUAAAUGAAAAGUACCAAGGUUAUUACCUUCACAUUAGGAUUUUUCUCUGGAUGAUCUAAGAAAAGGACAAAAGUUUUAUCAUCAAUGAUAAUUAAACAACAAAAUUCAAUUACAAUAUCAUGCAAAAUAAAUAGGUUUAUUAGUUGCCAAUAUAGGACUUGUAGAAUCCUAUUCAAUAUUAUAUAAUUCUUAGAUGGCAUUUUGCCCGACUGACUAUUAAUAUUAACUGUUAACACUGGACAUAAAAGAAGAAAAUAAUAUUGGCCCAACAUGGAAUUCACAUUGGAUUCAUGUGACUUCAUGAAGAAAAGAGCCAAGGAGUACAAAAAUGCAGUUUAAAAUUAUGUGUUCAAAACACAAAAUUAAAAAAAUAACCCUGAAGACUACAAGAUAUGUCUUCUAAUUAUGUGUGAUUUUGUGAAAAAUUCACUUAUCCUCAUAGUUGUAAAUAUAGAGAAUAAAAAAGAACAUCACCAUCAGUGUCUUCUGCAGCACUUAAAUCAACGUUUUCCAUAAAAGCUGUAAUGGAAAUGGGAAGAAAGUGAGAAAAGGAAAU
rnacentral:lncRNA from 1 species